GAGGAAAUCAAUUUAAAAGAUAACAUGGAAUUUGGAAACUUGUUAUUUCAGCUUGGAAAAUUGUUACUUUAGCUUCUUUUAUUAGAUGACAAGUUUGGGAUCACUCUUCUUUAUCAGGGGUGCUGCAGUACACUUUUGGAAUUCCUCUCAGAGGACUCAGUAUGUUCAAUCUUGCUUGCGGGUUCAUUGAAAUUCCUCAAUGCUAUUUUGAUGAGGUGCAAGGGAGUAAAGGAGUUGUUUGGAUGGGAAAUGGUGGAUGAGUUGCUGGCAAAUUCAACUCCUGACCUCAUUUUCCAAGAGAGGUUUCAGUCUCUCAAUGACUUACUGACAUUUGUGAGAUUUCCCUUGUUUUCAUAUCACUUGCUGAAGAAGUUGGGGUAGAGCAAUC
rnacentral:misc_RNA from 1 species